rnacentral:tRNA from 1 species
AAGGGUAUAGUUCAGUGGCAGAACGUAUGUUUAGCAUGCAUGAGGUCCUAGGUUCAAUGCCCAGUACCUCCA